rnacentral:rRNA from 1 species
AGAGUUUGAUCAUGGCUCAGGAUGAACGCUGGCGGCGUGCUUAACACAUGCAAAUCGAACGAGAAUCAACGGAUUGAGGAUUCGUCCAAAUGAAGUUGAGGAAAGUGGCGGACGGGUGAGUAACGCGUGAGGAACCUGCCUCGGAGUGGGGAAUAACAGUUGGAAACAGCUGCUAAUACCGCAUAAUGCAACGGAGUCGCAUGACUUUGUUGCCAAAGAUUUAUCGCUCUGAGAUGGCCUCGCGUCUGAUUAGCUAGUUGGCGGGGUAACGGCCCACCAAGGCGACGAUCAGUAGCCGG